rnacentral:rRNA from 1 species
AUUGAACGCUGGCGGCAGGCCUAACACAUGCAAGUCGAGCGGAUGAAGGGAGCUUGCUCCUGGAUUCAGCGGCGGACGGGUGAGUAAUGCCUAGGAAUCUGCCUGGUAGUGGGGGAUAACGUCCGGAAACGGGCGCUAAUACCGCAUACGUCCUGAGGGAGAAAGUGGGGGAUCUUCGGACCUCACGCUAUCAGAUGAGCCUAGGUCGGAUUAGCUAGUUGGUGGGGUAAAGGCCUACCAAGGCGACGAUCCGUAACUGGUCUGAGAGGAUGAUCAGUCACACUGGAACUGAGACACGGUCCAGACUCCUACGGGAGGCAGCAGUGGGGAAUACUGGACAAAGGGCGAAAGCCUGAUCCAGCCAUGCCGCGUGUGUGAAGAAGGUCUUCGGAUUGUAAAGCACUUUAAGUUGGGAGGAAGGGCAGUAAGUUAAUACCUUGCUGUUUUGACGUUACCAACAGAAUAAGCACCGGCUAACUUCGUG